UAGGGAAUCUUCCGCAAUGGGCGAAAGCCUGACGGAGCAACGCCGCGUGAGUGAUGAAGGUCUUCGGAUCGUAAAACUCUGUUAUUAGGGAAGAACAAAUGUGUAAGUAACUAUGCACGUCUUGACGGUACCUAAUCAGAAAGCCACGGCUAACUACGUGCCAGCAGCCGCGGUAAUACGUAGGUGGCAAGCGUUAUCCGGAAUUAUUGGGCGUAAAGCGCGCGUAGGCGGUUUUUUAAGGCUGAUGUGAAAGCCCACGGCUCAACCGUGGAGGGUCAUUGGAAACUGGAAAACUUGAGUGCAGAAGAGGAAAGUGGAAUUCCAUGUGUAGCGGUGAAAUGCGCAGAGAUAUGGAGGAACACCAGUGGCGAAGGCGACUUUCUGGUCUGUAACUGACGCUGAUGUGCGAAAGCGUGGGGAUCAAACAGG
rnacentral:rRNA from 1 species